rnacentral:piRNA from 1 species
UAGACUGUGUCCCGAGUGUGAUUUCCA